AAGAGACGCGAUUGGGAGGAGAAAUGGGGCAAAGGAUUAAGCUUCGCAAAUCCAAUGUCUUCUUCCUUCCAUCAAGUCAUGCAUUGGAGAAAAAUCUAAGGGAUGCUACCACAAUUCAUCUUACAUUUCAAAAUGACUAUGAUCAAUCAUCAUGAUGAGGAUGAGGGGGGAACUUGAACUCGUGGAUGAAGGAAGGCAAGAAACACUAAAUUUUGGGCAUGCACGCGGAAUUGAAGGAGGGAAUCUCAUUAUCAUUCUCUCAUCUCUUCCAAUUUUUAUUUUGAUGUGUGCAUGUGCUUUGAUGGGACUCGUAGUUGGGACUUGACCCUGAAGAUUGAUGGAUUUUUUUUGUUGUUGUGGUGAAGAUGUUGCUCAAUUGUUGUUGUAUUUC